GAGCUGUUGUUCCCCAACCCAUGGAGCUCGUGGAUGGUUUGCUCAGCACUCACGGAUAGCAUCAGAUUUGGCAAUUUUUUCCUUGAAGCUGGUGUUCCGCGAACGUUUUUCUCUUCACCACGAAAGAGAUUCCAGGAAAACACGGGCUCGGAGACUGCCCUCCUUAAUGGGAGCGUUAAUUAGAAUUAGCCCUGGCUGCUGGCUGUUGGGCCCGUUAAUGAAUUGAAAGCAUCUCGCCGAGGUCAGGCUUGCCAGCAGGUGCGCGUCAGCAGCUCUCCGUAGGUGCACGGAUAAUGAUUUGUAAGUACAGCAAAAGCAGAGCCCUGCCUGGAUGCUGCGCCCUGGAGCAAGGAACCGCGAGAGCAAGGGGACAGAGCUCAGGUACCUUGGUAACAGCUGCGCUGCAGAGGCACAAAAUAGGCUGAUUUUUUUCAAAAAAAGCCAAAAACGUUGCCUGCCUUUCUGCUUGCAGUGAUGCCACGCGCCUGCAUCCCGUGCUGAUGGUGGCACGUUCAUUUUCCUGCUUCUUGCACCACCGUCAGAGCAAGAUAAAUGCUGCUGGAGCUGCUUUUGGUGCAUACGGAGAACAUUUGAGCGCUUCCCAUGUCUACAAGCCACAGAACAGCCCCCUAACCUCCUGUUGGGCUGCUCUUUUUAAUGUGAAUCCUGCGGUUUUAAGCCGUGCUGUAAAAAAAAAAAUAUUCUUCAGGGAGUCACUCAGAGCUGGCAGUGAGCUAAAAGAAAUGUUUUAGCUUGCAUGGCUCUCGUUUCCCUAAAUUUUUGGUUGUUGGCUUCGUAAUGCAUCCCUCCAAAAAAAAAAAUAAUCAAGAGUUGGGGCAAAUUCUUGUAAAGAAGGUGCAGAGUUUAAGUGGUCUGCCAGAAAUCCUUCCCCAAAUCCCCUCCCUGAGGGUUGUACCCGGUGAUGGGGAAUUUUGGCUGUUUCCGUGAGCGAUGCAAGGGGGCAAUGAUGCUUCAAAGGCCUCCGUGGCUGUGUACAGGGGCGGUGGAAGGAGCAUCUGUCACGCAAAGCUGUGAAUCGAGGAACUUCCAUGUAGUUAAGACUGGAAGAAGAAGUAGGAAAAGGAAAGAAAAACCCUGGGAAGCACCCAGGGGAUGCCCAAUCCCUCAGAAACAUGGGCACGGAGCCGUUUGUCUGAAAACGCUGCUGCUGGGGGAUUUCCAUCCUGCAGGACCCCUGGAGCAUCCAAGGAUCCCUCCCUGCAGCCUGGGUGCUUCCUUCACGAGUCCCAAACCCAAAGCAAAAGAAGAGGCUGGGAUACAUCUAUCACACUCUGAUUUACCUCAUCUUCACACCAACAGUGCUCUAAAGGUACCAAAUUGA
rnacentral:lncRNA from 1 species